rnacentral:rRNA from 1 species
GAUGAACGCUGGCGGCGUGCCUAAUACAUGCAAGUCGAGCGAACAGACGAGGAGCUUGCUCCUCUGACGUUAGCGGCGGACGGGUGAGUAACACGUGGAUAACCUACCUAUAAGACUGGGAUAACUUCGGGAAACCGGAGCUAAUACCGGAUAAUAUAUUGAACCGCAUGGUUCAAUAGUGAAAGACGGUUUUGCUGUCACUUAUAGAUGGAUCCGCGCCGCAUUAGCUAGUUGGUAAGGUAACGGCUUACCAAGGCAACGAUGCGUAGCCGACCUGAGAGGGUGAUCGGCCACACUGGAACUGAGACACGGUCCAGACCCCUACGGGAGGCAGCAGUAGGGAAUCUUCCGCAAUGGGCGAAAGCCUGACGGAGCAACGCCGCGUGAGUGAUGAAGGUCUUCGGAUCGUAAAACUCUGUUAUUAGGGAAGAACAAAUGUGUAAGUAACUAUGCACGUCUUGACGGUACCUAAUCAGAAAGCCCCGGCUAACUACGUG